rnacentral:rRNA from 1 species
GACGAACGCUGGCGGCGUGCCUAAUACAUGCAAGUAGAACGCUGAAGAGAGGAGCUUGCUCUUCUUGGAUGAGUUGCGAACGGGUGAGUAACGCGUAGGUAACCUGCCUUGUAGCGGGGGAUAACUAUUGGAAACGAUAGCUAAUACCGCAUAACAAUGGAUGACACAUGUCAUUUAUUUGAAAGGGGCAAUUGCUCCACUACAAGAUGGACCUGCGUUGUAUUAGCUAGUAGGUGAGGUAACGGCUCACCUAGGCGACGAUACAUAGCCGACCUGAGAGGGUGAUCGGCCACACUGGGACUGAGACACGGCCCAGACUCCUACGGGAGGCAGCAGUAGGGAAUCUUCGGCAAUGGGGGCAACCCUGACCGAGCAACGCCGCGUGAGUGAAGAAGGUUUUCGGAUCGUAAAGCUCUGUUGUAAGUCAAGAACGAGUGUGAGAGUGGAAAGUUCACACUGUGACGGUAGCUUACCAGAAAGGGACGGCUAACUACGUGCCAGCAGCCGCGGUAAUACGUAGGUCCCGAGCGUUGUCCGGAUUUAUUGGGCGUAAAGCGAGCGCAGGCGGUUUGAUAAGUCUGAAGUUAAAGGCUGUGGCUCAACCAUAGUUCGCUUUGGAAACUGUCAAACUUGAGUGCAGAAGGGGAGAGUGGAAUUCCAUGUGUAGCGGUGAAAUGCGUAGAUAUAUGGAGGAACACCGGUGGCGAAAGCGGCUCUCUGGUCUGUAACUGACGCUGAGGCUCGAAAGCGUGGGGAGCGAACAGGAUUAGAUACCCUGGUAGUCCACGCCGUAAACGAUGAGUGCUAGGUGUUGGAUCCUUUCCGGGAUUCAGUGCCGCAGCUAACGCAUUAAGCACUCCGCCUGGGGAGUACGACCGCAAGGUUGAAACUCAAAGGAAUUGACGGGGGCCCGCACAAGCGGUGGAGCAUGUGGUUUAAUUCGAAGCAACGCGAAGAACCUUACCAGGUCUUGACAUCCCGAUGCUAUUUCUAGAGAUAGAAAGUUACUUCGGUACAUCGGUGACAGGUGGUGCAUGGUUGUCGUCAGCUCGUGUCGUGAGAUGUUGGGUUAAGUCCCGCAACGAGCGCAACCCCUAUUGUUAGUUGCCAUCAUUCAGUUGGGCACUCUAGCGAGACUGCCGGUAAUAAACCGGAGGAAGGUGGGGAUGACGUCAAAUCAUCAUGCCCCUUAUGACCUGGGCUACACACGUGCUACAAUGGUUGGUACAACGAGUUGCGAGUCGGUGACGGCAAGCUAAUCUCUUAAAGCCAAUCUCAGUUCGGAUUGUAGGCUGCAACUCGCCUACAUGAAGUCGGAAUCGCUAGUAAUCGCGGAUCAGCACGCCGCGGUGAAUACGUUCCCGGGCCC